rnacentral:rRNA from 1 species
GUGUCAGCCGCCGCGGUAAUACGAAGGUCCCGAGCGUUGUUCGGAAUCACUGGGCGUAAAGGGUGCGUAGGCGGCGCGGCAAGUCGGAUGUGAAAGCCCGGGGCUCAACCCCGGAAUGGCAUUGGAUACUGCCGUGCUGGAGCGGUGGAGAGGGAUCUGGAAUUCACGGUGUAGCAGUGAAAUGCGUAGAUAUCGUGAGGAAGGCUCGUGGCGAAGGCGAGAUCCUGGACACUGACUGACGCUGAGGCACGAAGGCCAGGGGAGCGAAAGGGAUUAGAUACCCCCGUAGUCC